ACGCUCGACACCUACGUGAGGCAGCAGUGGGGAAUAUUGCACAAUGGGGGAAACCCUGAUGCAGCGACGCCGCGUGAGUGAAGAAGUAUUUCGGUAUGUAAAGCUCUAUCAGCAGGGAAGAAGAUGACGGUACCUGAGUAAGAAGCCCCGGCUAACUACGUGCCAGCAGCCGCGGUAAUCUGAGGCGGGCUGGCAAGGC
rnacentral:rRNA from 1 species